GAUCGGGUGAGUAACACGUGGGCAAUCUGCCCUGCACUCUGGGACAAGCCCUGGAAACGGGGUCUAAUACCGGAUACUGAUCCUCGCAGGCAUCUGCGAGGUUCGAAAGCUCCGGCGGUGCAGGAUGAGCCCGCGGCCUAUCAGCUAGUUGGUGAGGUAACGGCUCACCAAGGCGACGACGGGUAGCCGGCCUGAGAGGGCGACCGGCCACACUGGGACUGAGACACGGCCCAGACUCCUACGGGAGGCAGCAGUGGGGAAUAUUGCACAAUGGGCGAAAGCCUGAUGCAGCGACGCCGCGUGAGGGAUGACGGCCUUCGGGUUGUAAACCUCUUUCAGCAGGGAAGAAGCGAAAGUGACGGUACCUGCAGAAGAAGCGCCGGCUAACUACGUGCCAGCAGCCGCGGUAAUACGUAGGGCGCAAGCGUUGUCCGGAAUUAUUGGGCGUAAAGAGCUCGUAGGCGGCUUGUCACGUCGGUUGUGAAAGCCCGGGGCUUAACCCCGGGUCUGCAGUCGAUACGGGCAGGCUAGAGUUCGGUAGGGGAGAUCGGAAUUCCUGGUGUAGCGGUGAAAUGCGCAGAUAUCAGGAGGAACACCGGUGGCGAAGGCGGAUCUCUGGGCCGAUACUGACGCUGAGGAGCGAAAGCGUGGGGAGCGAACAGGAUUAGAUACCCUGGUAGUCCACGCCGUAACGGUGGGCACUAUGUGUGGGCAACAUUCCACGUUGUCCGUGCCGCAGCUAACGCAUUAAGUGCCCCGCCUGGGGAGUACGGCCGCAAGCUAAACUCAAGGAAUUGACGGG
rnacentral:rRNA from 1 species